rnacentral:tRNA from 1 species
GCGGCUGUGGUGAAACGGCAGACACGCGGCGUUCAGGUCGCCGUGCUCGCAAGGGCGUGGAGGUUCGACUCCUCUCAGCCGCA